CAUCUGUCAAUCAAUGCGUCUUGUCUACCGACCCGGAUCCCCCGUGUAGCCUAUAUAUCGAUCCUCUCGAUCCUGGUUGCUUACAUCCGCCAAGUUUUUAUCGGGUUUUUAUUGAAACCAGCAAGAAAAAAGCUCGCAGAAACAUUCGCGAAGAUAACGGAAAAGAGAAACCAACACGGGGGAAAGAAACAAAAGGACGCCAGUUCAUCCAUUCUCACGCUCAAAAGAAGUUCCGUUGAUUACUGUACCUUAACAGGAAUUUCCGCAAGCUUUUCUGCUUAACAUUUAAGGAACAAAUUUCUAUUACCUACCUUUUGUUCG
rnacentral:lncRNA from 1 species